rnacentral:lncRNA from 13 species
AUGCAACAUACUACCACACACACCCAACACACACCACACACACCACAUACAUAUGCAUCACAUACACCAUGCAUCCAUCACAUACACACACAUCACUUACACCACACAUACACCAAAUAUAUACCACACGCACCACAUACACACACAUCACAUACACCAGACAUGUUAUAUAUGCUACACACCACACACACCCCAAUAUAUACCACACACCACACACACUACAUACACAUACAUCACAUACACCACACACUGCAAACACACCCAAUGUAUACCACACACCACAUAAACACACAUUGCAUACACCACACAUGUUACAUAUACCACACUUGCCACACAUAUAUCCAAUAUAUACCACACAAACACAUACCACACAUACCACAUACACAUCACAUACAUCACACAUUAUACAUACACCACACACCACACACACCACCAUACACCCACUGUACAACACAUACACCACAUACACCACAUACACACACAUUGCAUACACCACAUGUUAUAUACACCACAUACCACACAACACACACUCAAUAUAUAUCAGACACACCACAUACACACGUCAUAUACACUACACAUUUUACAUAUACCACAUGCCACACACACCACACAUACACAUCAUAUACACCACACAUGCCAAUACAUACCACACACACUACAUACAAACCACAUAUACACACACCACAUACACGCACAUUGCAUACAUGUUACAUACACCACACAUGCCACACCCCCAAUAUACACCAUACCCACCACAUACUACACAUAGUAUGUAACAUACAUAACAUGCCACACAUACACCCAAUAUACACCACACACACCACAUACCGCACACACCACACCACAUACAUCACAUGUACCACAUGCCACACACACCCAAUAUGUACCAUACACACCACACAUCCAAUAUACACCACACACACCACAUACACAUAUAUGACAUACACCAGCCACAUUAUACACAGCACACACAGCACAUACACUUCCCUCCUAUAUACACAACAUACAGCCCCCCUUACCAGCUGA